rnacentral:rRNA from 1 species
UACAGAGGGGGCGAAGCGUUGUUCGGAAUUACUGGGCGUAAAGGGCGCGUAGGCGGCCUGUUAAGGUCAAGACCGUGAAAUCCCUCGGCUCAACCGGGGAACUGCGUCUGAUACUGGCGGGCCUGAAUCGGGAGAGGGAUGUUGGAAGUUCCAGGGUGUAGCGGUGAAAUGACGUAGAUAUCGUGAGGAACACCAGAGGCGAAGG